UCGAUUAGAUACCCCCGUAGUCCUAGCCGUAAACGAUACUCGCUAGGUGUCGGCCACGGUGCGACCGUUGUCGGUGCCGUAGGGAAGCCGUGAAGCGAGCCACCUGGGAAGUACGGCCGCAAGGCUGAAACUUAAAGGAAUUGGCGGGGGAGCACCACACGGGUGGAGCUUGCGGUUUAAUUGGAUUCAACGCCGGAAAUCUUACCGGGACCGACAGCAAUAUGAAGGCCAGGCUGAAGACUUUGCCGGAUUAGCUGAGAGGUGGUGCAUGGCA
rnacentral:rRNA from 1 species